ACUCUUUUAGUAUUAAUUAGUACAAUUGACUUCCAAUCAAUUAGCCCUAGAUAUAAACCUAGGAAAGAGUA
rnacentral:tRNA from 1 species